rnacentral:miRNA from 1 species
GCUGGUAAAAAGGAACCAGA